rnacentral:rRNA from 1 species
GACGAACGCUGGCGGCGUGCUUAACACAUGCAAGUCGAACGGAAAGGCCUGCUUUCCCUUGUGGACUGCGGGUACUCGAGUGGCGAACGGGUGAGUAACACGUGAGUGAUCUGCCCCCAACUUGGGUAUAAGCCUGGGAAACUGGGUCUAAUUCCCGAUAGGACUGCAGGGUGGUGCCUGUGGUGGCAAACGAUUUUCUAGUGGUUGGGGAUGAGCUCGCGGCCUAUCAGCUUGUUGGUGGGGUAAUGGCCUACCAAGGCGGCGACGGGUAGCCGGCCUGGGAGGGUGGACGGGCACAGUGGGACUGAGAUACGGCCCAGACUCCUACGGGAGGCAGCAGUGGGGAAGAUUGCACAAUGGGCGGAAGCCUGAGGCAGCGACGCCGCGGGGGGGAUGACGGCCUUCGGGUGGUAAACUCCUUUCGACCGCGAGGAAGCCACCUGGUUGGAAGGGUGGUGACGGUAGUGGUAGAAGAAGCACCGGCUAACUACGUG